GACAAUGGGAUACCACUCUAUUCUUGGUGAGUGGGUUCACUCAGGAAGUGGAAAUAAGAAUCAGGAGAUAAUUUGGCAUGGUAGAGACUUUUGUUGUCAUCCAAUAUCUAUUUUUCCUUCUUUCUUAGUACUGGAAUACCUGAGUUUUGGCUGGGCACAGAACUGUCUGGAAUACAGACUGCAAUUCCCAGCCUUCUGUGCAGUUCUGUGUGGCCAUGUGACUAAGUUGUGGUCAAUAUGAGUCACGGAAGAAUAGAAGAACAACUCAGAGGAGGAAGAAGUCAGACAUAGCCAGACACGGCUGCUAGCAGUUCCACCAAUGAAAGAGGAGACCAGGAUGUUUAAAACAGGCAAACACAAG
rnacentral:lncRNA from 1 species